rnacentral:rRNA from 1 species
CCUACGGGUGGCUGCAGUGAGGAAUAUUGGUCAAUGGACGAGAGUCUGAACCAGCCAAGUAGCGUGAAGGAUGAAUGCCCUAUGUAUUGUAAACUUCUUUUAUAUGGGAAUAAAAUGUUCCACGUGUGGGAUUUUGUAUGUACUAUAUGAAUAAGGAUCGGCUAACUCCGUGCCAGCAGCUGCGGUACUCCGGAGGGUCCGAGCGUUAUCCGGAUUGAUAGGGUUUAAAGGGAGCGUAGGUGGAUUGUUAAGUCAGUUGUGAAAGUAUGCGGCUCAACCGUAAAAUUGCAGUUGAAACUGGCAGUCUUGAGUACAGUAGAGGUGGGCGGAAUUCGUGGUGUAGCGGUGAAAUGCUUAGAUAUCACGAAGAACUCCGAUUGCGAAGGCAGCUCACUGGACUGCAACUGACACUGAGGCUCGAAAGUGUGGGUAUCAAACAGGAUUAGAUACCCGAGUAGUC